UACAGAGGUCUCAAGCGUUGUUCGGAUCCAUUGGGCGUAAAGGGUGCGUAGGCGGCGCUGUAAGUCGGGUGUGAAAUCUCGGGGCUUAACUCCGAAACUGCAUUCGAUACUGCCGUGCUUGAGGACUGGAGAGGAGACUGGAAUUUACGGUGUAGCGGUGAAAUGCGUAGAUAUCGUAAGGAAGACCAGUGGCGAAGGCGGGUCUCUGGACAGUUCCUGACGCUGAGGCACGAAGGUCAGGGGAGCAAACGGG
rnacentral:rRNA from 1 species